UUCUUCAAGCAGCAGCAUAAAACCCAGUCCUCUUCCAUUUGAACUUGGGCUGAUUUCACCACAGCUGUCUUUUAAGUUAGAUACCCUUAAAUUUCAGUGCUCUGCCUUCUCAGCGUGAACACCUGCACCAGUAAAAGUGAGCUCAGACGGGGCUCCCACCAGCCCGUUGCCCCACAAUGCUGCCCUAAUCACUUUCCGAGCGUUAGUGAAAAGGAACUGAGCUUAUUUUACAGGCUUAGUUGCAGUCAUAAAUUUUUGCAUUGCUAUUGUGUUACAGAUGAAAGCUAAUUUCCUGGGUUUGAUCUUGAUAUCUCUGUGGCUCUGAAGAAGUGCUCUCGAGUGCCCAAGGUGCCUGGAGCCAAUUCUGACUUGUGGAGGGUUGUUAGCACAGGAUAAUAGAGCAUUCAACUACUUGGUAUUAAUCCCCAGUUCUUUGCUUGCCAUGUUAAUUGGAGGAAUGAUGUCUUUUCUGUGUUACGGGAGUGAUGAAUCAAAUGAUAAGUGUAAGAGUCCCUCAUUCCUUCUGCAUUUCCAAUGAACUGCACCCUGGGCUGAGAAGCCAGCAGCUGACUCACCGUACCCCACGAGAUGUGCCCAUGGAGGAACCUGGACGGGGUCUUACGUGGUGGCUGUGAGGACUGAGGUGGACAAUCUUAUGCUGCCCCAGCACAGUGCUUGUCUGUGGGUGCUGUGCCUGUGCUGGGAGCAUCUGAUGAUGGCACUGAGCUGCGGGGAGCUCAAGAAGGAAGAGUUCCUCCUCGGGGCCAUGGGGUGUGGGUGUUCCCCACCCCUCAGGGCUCUUACACAGUGGGUGUGUGUAGAGGAACCCCAUGGUUAUGCCUGCACCAUGAGCAUCCUCUUCUCCUGCAGGAGGACCCAGCCAACAUCUCACCUCCUGGAGACCACCUCCUGCCUGGAGCUGAAGGAAGGAUGCUCUGCCACCUCUUCCUCUUGUGUUUUUUAUCUAUCAUGUCGUUUGCUUGCACUAUGAGCUUAUCCUCGUGGCAUCAGAGACAAACACACCUGUUUGGUGGCAGCAGCUCCGUAGGAACGGGGUGGACCUGUGCACACCCUCCUUGCUCUACCUUGGCAUGUCCUUGCUCAGGGGAGGAAGGCAGAUGUACAACACGAGGCAGAUGAACAGCCCACAGCUUGCUGUGACUGGCUUCUGCUGGGGAGGCAGAUAAGGCUUGUGAUUUGGAAACAGCCAGACCAUCAGAGAAUGCUGAUGAGUAACACGGCUUUCCAGCUACCAUUCUGCUUUUAAUCCUGUGCAGCUUUUGGACGUCACCAACGAUGAGGGAUCUUGUCUGAACAGGAAUUUACAAGGAACUUUUCUUCAUGGAACAAGCUGAAAAUCCCCAGACCCCAAACUUACGCAAAUUCAGUGCAAGGUUUGCUUUAAUUUUUAUACUUUUCAUCACUAUUUGUAAAUGACCUUCUUCAACCUUGGGGUGCCACAAGGACAGAAUAAAUUUUCUCCAGGCUUGUGGAUAUGGAGUCAAUUUUCACGGCAGCAGGAAACUGGUUGGGGCUUGUCGAGCUGCUGGAAGCCUGCUUCAUGGGCAGAGAGGAGCACCGCAGAGCAUCGGGCCUGCACUCAGGCACAAACUGGUCCUUUGGUAGCCAUGCAGCUGCAUUUGGUCUGAGGCCUGCUCUCUGUCUUGUUCUUGGCUGAGCAGAAGAUUGGGGAUGACAAGUUCAUUUCCCCAAGGGACCUCAGCUCCGUGCCUGUCCAGACUGGACUAAGAAGAUAAUAAAUUUCAGUACUAAUCCAUUUAGACCUAAAAUACAAUUCCAGAAGAUAUUUGUUAAGUGCAGUCUUAUUCCAUGAGAGCAGUUGCAGUCUAUAUUUUCCAUACAUAUUUGCAAAAUCAUUCCAAAUACGUGCAUUUAUUUUUACAAGCGCUUGUCAUCACAUAAAGUAUUGACAGGCAGCAGUGUCCCUGCUAGACUAUCUCUGUAGCAACCUCCCGAGCAGUCGGCAGCCUAAUGCAUUUAUAGCCUGAUUACGGGCUGCAGGAGACUCCACUGGCUUCUUAGAGCUGCAAAGGUGGAGACAAGCCUGGGGGCUGUGGGCAGGUUACAGCUCUGUGGCUCUUGGCUUUUCCUUCUGCCUUCAUUUCCCUUGCCCCUGCUGCAGGGAAUGUCCCAGGCGAUGCUUGGCCAAACCCAGGGUACCAUUAUCAAAUGAGAAGUGUGUUGCAUUUUAAUGGACAUCUGUAGCCAAACACAUCUGGUCCAUUCAAUUUGGAUGGUGUUCAGGGAAAAAAACAGACAACUGGUGAGAAAACUCCUUGAAAGGGGUUCCAGCUAGAUCUGGGUGAAGUUUUCAACAGAGUGAACCGAUCCAAGAAAAUGGAUGAGAGCUGUGACUUCAGAGAAACGUUAGUGAAUUGUUUCAGCUGAGGGGAAAAAUAACCUCUUCCUUACUUGGUCCCUUAGUUGGAAGCACUGACUGUCUUUUUAUUGGAAACUUUGAUAUUUUUUUGUUUCCAAACAGCUUCCCUUAUUUAAAAAUUGAUCCAAGAGCAAAUGUUAGUAACAGAUUAAAAUGACCUUUCAAGUCAAACAAUUUUGUAGGCUGACUCCAAGUGGACUGCUCUUGUUUGAUUGUCUCAGUGACAGCUUGAAAAGAAAAGUCUCAAGUUUGAUUUAUUUGGAGACAAACCAUUCUCCAAAGUUCACCUCACAAUUUUCAAAAUUCAUUAUUUAUCAAAUUUUAUAAUUGUUUGGAGAGUAACGUUAUUUUACUUUGGCUAAAGCAAAUAUACUGGAAGUGCAAUUAAAAAAAAAAAAAAGUAUUUAUUUUGCAAUUAACCAUAAGUAUUUUUUACAUUCAAAGUAAUGUACAGUGAUAUUUUGGUAAAGACAUGCAAUUUUCUUUAAGGUUACUUUAAUGUGUAUAUCAAAAUUGGACCUUUCCCGUUUAUUUGUUUGUUUGCUUGUUUGUUUAAAGACUUUAAUGCUAAUUGAUUAAUUUGCCAAUGUCUUUCAGUGACCUUUAUGACUUGAAGCUUUCCAGAACUGACUUAAUUAAAGAUGGGAUGGAACCAAAGUGAAU